GGUUAAAAAGCUCGUAGUUGGAUCUCGGCAAGUAGAGGGCGGUAUGCUUCGUAGCAUUACUGCCCUAUUACUUGUAGUUUUGCCAGAGGUUCCUGGGUGCUCUUAAUCGAGUGUCUAGGGAUGCUGGCAGGUUUACUUUGAAAAAAUUAGAGUGCUCAAAGCAGGCUAUUACGCUUGAAUAUUCGUGCAUGGAAUAAUAGAAUAGGAAGUUGUUUCUAUUUUGUUGGUUUUCGGAAAUCGACUUAAUGAUUAAUAGGGACAGUCGGGGGCAUUUGUAUUCAAACGACAGAGGUGAAAUUCUUGGACCGUUUGAAGACAAACUACUGCGAAAGCAUUUGCCAAGAAUGUUUUCAUUAAUCAAGAACGAAAGUUAGAGGUUCGAAGGCGAUUAGAUACCGCCCUAGUUCUAACCAUAAACGAUGCCAGCUAGCGAUCUGAGGACGUUUUUUUUGUAGACUCCUCAGGAAGCUUCCGGGAAACCAAAGCGUGUGGGUUCCGGGGGAAGUAUGGUUGCAAAGCUGAAACUUAAAGGAAUUGACGGAAGGGCACCACCAGGAGUGGAGCCUGCGGCUUAAUUUGACUCAACACGGGAAAUCUCACCAGGCCCGGACACUGGA
rnacentral:rRNA from 1 species